GAUGAACGCUGGCGGCGUGCCUAAUACAUGCAAGUCGAGCGAACAGACGAGGAGCUUGCUCCUCUGACGUUAGCGGCGGAGGGGUGAGUACCACGUGGAUAACCUACCUAUAAGAAUGGGAUAACUUCGGGAAACCGGAGCUAAUACCGGAUAAUAUAUUGAACCGCAUGGUGCCAUAGUGAGAUACGGUUUUGCUGUGGCUUAUAGCUGGAUCCGCGCCGCAUUCGCUAGUUGGUAAGGUAACGGCUUACCAAGGCAACGAUGCUUAAACGGCCUGAGGGGGUCAACCGACACACGGGAACUGAGACAGGGUCCAGACUCCUACGGGGGGCAGCAGCAGGGAAUCUUCCGCAAGGGGCGAGAGCCGGACGUAGGAACGCCGCGGAAGGGAUGAAGGUCUUCGGAUCGGAGAGCUCUGUUAGUAUGGAAGUACUAAUGUGUUAGUAACCAGGCACGUCUUGACGGUACCUAAUCAGAAAGCCACGGCUAACUACGUG
rnacentral:rRNA from 1 species